GACGAACGCUGGCGGCGUGCUUAACACAUGCAAGUCGAGCGGUAAGGCCCUUUCGGGGGUACACGAGCGGCGAACGGGUGAGUAACACGUGGGUGACCUGCCCUCAGCUCUGGGAUAAGCCUGGGAAACCGGGUCUAAUAACUGGAUAUGACUCCAUGACGCAUGUUGUGGGGUGGAAAGCCUUGUGCGGACUGAGGAUGGGCCCGCGGCCUAUCAGCUUGUUGGU
rnacentral:rRNA from 1 species